AAAAAAUCCUGGGGCGAUCGAGCCUUUGCUCAUGCCGGACUAGCCCUGUGGAAUUCACUACCACAGGAGCUGAAGAACUCAAACUCUGCAACAUCCUUUAAGGGCAACCUAAAAUUGCAUUUGUUCACCAGCAGGUUCUAGCUAGGUUUGGAGACAGACAUUUUUCCUCAUUUGUAAUGUACCCUUUCUUGUACUUGUCUUAUAGUAUCUCUUUACUUUUGUUUUGCUCUCUUAUAAGUGCCUUGAGCAUUUAAUCAAAAUGGAAAGACGCUAUAUAAAUCAUAUGUAUUAUUAUUA